rnacentral:rRNA from 1 species
UCCUACGGGGGGCUGCAGUGGGGAAUCUUGGACAAUGGGGGCAACCCUGAUCCAGCCAUGCCGCGUGAGUGACGAAGGCCUUAGGGUUGUAAAGCUCUUUUGGCGGGGACGAUAAUGACGGUACCCGCAGAAUAAGUCCCGGCUAACUUCGUGCCAGCAGCCGCGGUAAUACGAAGGGGACUAGCGUUGUUCGGAAUUACUGGGCGUAAAGCGCACGUAGGCGGAUUUGUUAGUCAGGGGUGAAAUCCCGGGGCUCAACCUCGGAACUGCCCUUGAUACUGCAAAUCUUGAGUCCGAGAGAGGUGAGUGGAACUCCUAGUGUAGAGGUGAAAUUCGUAGAUAUUAGGAAGAACACCAGUGGCGAAGGCGGCUCACUGGCUCGGUACUGACGCUGAGGUGCGAAAGCGUGGGGAGCAAACAGGAUUAGAUACCCCAGUAGUC